GUCAUUACAGCCCGCGCUUGAGGGUUUUCUUUGUAGAAGAGAUUGUCCGGGCCAUGACAUUCCUCAUAAACCAGGGGAAGACAAUGUACUGGGGAACAUCCCGAUGGACCUCAGCGGAGAUCAUGGAAGCUUACGCCAUUGCCCGUCAGUUUAACCUGAUCACUCCGUCCUGUGAGCAGGCUCAGUAUCAUCUCUUCCAGAGAGACAAGGUCGAGGCACACCUUCCUGAGCUCUACCACAAG